AUAAUCAUAGGUGAUGGAGUUCGCCAUAACCGCUGCUUAGCUAAUGACUCCUACCAGUAU
ncrna:Bacillus weihenstephanensis KBAB4 Fluoride riboswitch